rnacentral:rRNA from 1 species
ACAUGCCUACAUCAUAGCGUUAAUGCAUCGGAUCCCAUUAGAACUCCAUUGUUAAGCACACUCAGGCUAGAGUAGUACUGGGAUGGGUGACCACCUGGGAAGUCCUAGUGUUUUACAUGCC